UGCAAGGCAGGACCGACACC
rnacentral:miRNA from 1 species